GAUGAAGAACGUAGCGAAAUGCGAUAAGUAAUGUGAAUUGCAGAAUUCAGUGAAUCAUCGAAUCUUUGAACGCACAUUGCGCCCCCUGGUAUUCCGGGGGGCAUGCCUGUUCGAGCGUCAUUUCACCACUCAAGCCUCGCUUGGUAUUGGGCAACGCGGUCCGCCGCGUGCCUCAAAUCGACCGGCUGGGUCUUCUGUCCCCUAAGCGUUGUGGAAACUAUUCGCUAAAGGGUGUUCGGGAGGCUACGCCGUAAAACAACCCCAUUUCUAUGGUUGACCUCGGAUCAGGUAGGGAUACCCGCUGAACUUAAGCAUAUCAAUAAGCGGAGGA
rnacentral:misc_RNA from 1 species